rnacentral:lncRNA from 1 species
AUCUGUUGAGACCGGAUGAUUUGUGCAGCUGCUCGACAUCAGUGAGAGCUUUGUACCAUACUUAUUAGUAGUAGAGAUCAUCGAUCCAUAAAAGGUGAUGAGUUCUGAACUCUAUCGAUAUAAUCUAAAAGUUAGAUCAUAUUUAGGGCAUCGAUGUAAUCGAUGCAGUUUUCUAUUUUAUAUCAGAUUUUAUAUAUAAAUUUUUUAUAUUAUAAAUCUUUAAUGAUAGUUU